UGUUAAAUUGCUGACGUGGCAUUUAUUUUAUGCUGAAAUGUCUAUUUUACCCUCAAUUACUUUUUUUCUUUUAAUUUUUUUAUUUUUUAUCUUUCUCUCUUUUUCUUUUUUUUCUUUUUCCUUUUGACCUCUUCUUCAUCCAUGGAUCCGCAAGACCCAAUGCCCCUGAAAACCCACUUCGUCUCCUCCACCGAUUCUCCCGAGUUCACUCACCUAACCACCUCCUUGACUCGCUCCGCCAUCAUUGCCCUCGACGCCGAGUGGAAUCCCCUCCGCCCCCAGCACCCCACUUACCCAACCGUCCCUCUCCUCCAACUUGCCUGCAAACUCGACCGCGAACUCGCCGGCGACUCGAUCGUCGUCGUCUUCCUGCUCGACUGGACCCUCCUCCAGAUCAACUCGCACCUCCAAUUCCUUCGACGGGUCCUUCUCUGACGAUCGCGACCCGAUCUUCGAAGCCCUGAAAGCCCAAGACUUCGAGAAGAUCUUCGGCGGCUCGGCCAGGUUCUCCAUCAAUUUCGAAGCUUUGAACUUGGAUUCCAUGUACGGUGGUGGUGGGCCCACUGAUUCCUCCUCCAAGGUCGCUGAUUCUGGCCCGGUGUUGCGGGGCUGAAGAGCUCCGCUGCAAACAAUAUUUUCUCCUUGACAGUGACGUCCCCGCCGCCGCGGGCAAGUGAUAGUAGUGGGUUUGAUGACCUUCUCGAUGGGCAAGUGAUUGUGUGUGUUGCAGAUCGUUUAGGGAAGACGACCUGUUGUUUUUGAGAUUCAGAAUCAAAUGCAUUGAGCUCGGGAAUUUGAAGGGUGCGGGCCAAUGAGAAAAGACGACGACUUGGUCAGAACGCGGGAAGGAAUGCACGGUAGUUCUAUGCAUGCUCAGCAUUCCAACUCCGACCGGCGGAUUAUGGAACCCCCUGGCCCGUCCCUCAGAGUAUUUCAAGUUUGGAAAGGAAACAAUAAAUUUUGCUUCAAUGGCAGACUGAUAUUUGGUCCGGAUGCCAAGUCAUUGAUUCUUAUUUCUUACUGUGUCGCUGAUUGUGGUUCCGGUGAUCUUGUUUUGUGCUUUUGUUUCAAGAGGACUAGUUCGUAUUUUCCCCUACCAUAUUGGCAAUUUUAUCGUGGCUUUAGCUGUCGUAUCCACAGUCUGUGUGAGUUCUUUACAUGACUUCUUUACCGAUUCCCGUCUA